UUGCCUCCAACCCCAAUACUCUCAAAUCAAAAUAAUAAUUUUCAAACAAAGAAAAUAAACUUUCUAUAUUCUUUUUAACAUUUAUAGUAGAAAACCAUUUUCAAGAUUGGUGAGCCAAAAAGAUAUUUUAAAUAAAAAAUAAAUUAAAUUACAUAAAUUGAAAUUUGAACUUCCCCUUUUCAAUCUCAUUUCCUUUGUUUUUGGUUCCAAUGGAAUCAGAGAUAAAUCCGUUUGAAUCGGGUCGGAAUUCAUAACAGACUCUGUAAGAUGAUGAGAGGCAUUACCCAAAUGUGGAUAUGGGCAGCCGAAAUCUGUAAAUUUAAAACCAUCUAUUUAGUGUUUAUACAAAAAAUGGUAAUUUCGCUUUGGAGAUGCCUUCCACUGUGCUGAUUCUUCUCCCCAUUGGAGUGGCCAACCCUUCUGCAACUUUCUCCAGGAAAACUUUCACCUUAUUUGGCAACUUGGAUUUCAAAAUGAAAUCAACAAGGAUCGUCUCAAAAGGAGCAUGAUUAGGGGAGAUGGCUCUGAGUUAACCAGCUAACUGAAAACAGCCCAUUUUGGUGGAGACCUCAAACUGUAGUUGAUAAAGGGAGAGAAAGUGGGAAUGUUAAAACUCUAGUUUUUGAAGUUUCUUGUAAAAAAUAGUUAUAAGCCAAGAGCUCUAGAAAGGAACUGAAACAAUAGUCAAUAAAUUUGUUUAAUUCAUUCUCCAUCCUGAUUCUUGGGUAUUCUUCUAAAUCCUGAAACACUAUUUCAUCCUUGCUAAUUGCUCUGCAUCAUUCUUGAUGGUAACAAACUGUCUACUUCGUUGAUAUAUUUAGAGAAAUCUCCCCUGCCCCCCACUCGGAUUUCAAUAUAGUCAUCUUUCAGCAUAUUUUGUUAUUACAAUGGAGUUCGAUUGUGGUUAUCUGGCUGGUUCUUUGGAUUCUAAGUGUAUUGACAGUUGAUAGCAUCGUUGUUUAGUUUCUUGUUUAUUCUGUGCAAGUUGUUUGAUGUUAUGGAUUUUAUUUAAUUUGGAGAAUCUGUGAUCGAAUGCUUAAUCUUACUUUUGGAUCCUUUUUCAUCAAGCUGCAAUGUAUUCCUCAUUUCCUUCAUGUAAUCGAAUAUAGCUGGACAGUAUGGUAUACUAACCCGUUCAUUAUAUUUAACUUGAAUGGUGUUGUUCUUGUUCUUCCAAUGAAAGUCAUUUUCAAGUUGUUUAUGUGCUUUUGUUCGGUAACAAACAUGUAUCGUGUCAAUUGUUUAUGUAACAGCCUAAGCCCACUGCAAGCAUCUUUGAGCUUUCUCUUUUGGGCUUCCCCUCAAGGUUUUGAAACGCGUUUGCUAGGGAGAGGUUUCUACACCCAUAUAAAAACAUGUUUCGUCACCCCCCUCCCCCUCCCCCCUCGAUACUCAGUGUUCUCGCUGGCAUUUGUUCCCUUCUCCAAUCGAUGUGGGAUCUCCCAAUCCCCCCCUCUUUGGGGACCAGUGUCCUUGUUGGCACACUGUCUCGUGCCCACCCCUUGGGGGCUUAGCCUCCUCGCUGACACAUCCCUCAAUGUCUAGCUCUGAUACUAUUUGUAACAGUCCAAGCCCUUAGCUAGCAAAUAUUAUUCUUGGUGUUUUCCUUUCAGACUUCCUCUCAAUAUUUUUAAAAUGUGUCUGUUACGGAGAGGUUUCCACACUCUUAUAAAGAAUGCUUCGUUUUCCUCUCCAACCAACGUGGGAUCCUAUAGUUUAGGUAUCUCCUGAUAAGAAUGGGUUAGUUGAUUGUGGUUGACCCUUUGGAAGCCAGACUCAUGGCAGCGAAAAGAAAUGGAAAAGACCAAAGCAAAAGAUGAGUUCAAGAGAAGACAUCAAAUGGAAGCGAUUAAUGAAGCAUGGGCAAUGAUCGACCUCACAAAGACAUUCUAGCCAAGUUGCGUGGACAGUGGAGGCUGAAGCAGCAGCAGAUUCAGGUGGUUCUCUUUUGGAAGAAUUUAUUAGCUAUGCAAUCAUAUAUUUUACUAUAAUUUGUUUCAAUCUUGUACAAUAAACUUAAAUGAUUCAUUGUUCCAGCUUUAUACU